rfam:Sorex araneus cont1.437813, whole genome shotgun sequence.
GGUCUGUUUGCCUGGACCCAUCAGCAGCUGGGAGACUAAUGGACCACGGUGGAAAUGU